rnacentral:rRNA from 1 species
AACGCUAGCUACAGGCUUAACACAUGCAAGUCGAGGGGAAACGAUAGAGAAAGCUUGCUUUUUCUAGGCGUCGACCGGCGCACGGGUGAGUAACGCGUAUCCAACCUGCCCAUCACUUGGGGAUAACCUUGCGAAAGUAAGACUAAUACCCAAUGAUAUCUCUAGAAGACAUCUGAAGGAGAUUAAAGAUUUAUCGGUGAUGGAUGGGGAUGCGUCUGAUUAGCUUGUUGGCGGGGUAACGGCCCACCAAGGCAACGAUCAGUAGGGGUUCUGAGAGGAAGGUCCCCCACAUUGGAACUGAGACACGGUCCAAACUCCUACGGGAGGCAGCAGUGAGGAAUAUUGGUCAAUGGACGAGAGUCUGAACCAGCCAAGUAGCGUGCAGGAUGACGGCCCUAUGGGUUGUAAACUGCUUCUAUAAGGGAAUAAAGUGAGUCUCGUGAGACUUUUUGCAUGUACCUUAUGAAUAAGGACCGGCUAAUUCCGUGCCAGCAGCCGCGGUAAUACGGAAGGUCCGGGCGUUAUCCGGAUUUAUUGGGUUUAAAGGGAGCGUAGGCCGGAGAUUAAGCGUGUUGUGAAAUGUAGACGCUCAACGUCUGCACUGCAGCGCGAACUGGUUUCCUUGAGUACGCACAAAGUGGGCGGAAUUCGUGGUGUAGCGGUGAAAUGCUUAGAUAUCACGAAGAACUCCGAUUG